rnacentral:rRNA from 1 species
UAGCAGGAAGGGGCUAGUCGUUGCUCGGAAUUACUGGGCGUAAAGCGCACGUAGGCGGCUUUCUAAGUCGGGGGUGAAAUCCUGGAGCUCAACUCCAGAACUGCCUUCGAUACUGGAGAGCUCGAGUCCGGGAGAGGUGAGUGGAACUGCGAGUGUAGAGGUGAAAUUCGUAGAUAUUCGCAAGAACACCAGUGGCGAAGGCGGCUCACUGGCCCGGUACUGACGCUGAGGUGCGAAAGCGUGGGGAGCAAACAGG